rnacentral:rRNA from 1 species
GUAAAAGACUGAGGAUGACCCUCUUUCAUCUGUGUUUACUAUUUAUUUGAGUUUUGAAGGCGGUUUAUUGAAUUUUAGAAGGAAGGGUGAAAUUGUUGAUAUUGGAAGACAUUCGAUAGCGAAAGCAUUAACCGAUUCAGAUCUAACGCUAGGUACUAAAGUAUGGGGAUAAAUAGGAUUAGAGACCUAGUAGUCCAUACCUUAAACAAUGAGUGUUCAACGUCUUUUAAUGACUAGUAUUACCGUUAUUUUAAUAAAGCUAAUAUGAAAAUUAUUGGGGGUUUAAAGCUAACGCGUGAAACACCGCCUGGGGAAUGUGGCCGCAAGGUUAAACUCAAAGGAAUUGACGGAGACUUAUACAAGG